rnacentral:rRNA from 1 species
UACAGAGGGUGCAAGCGUUAAUCGGAGUCACUGGGCGUAAAGGGCGCGUAGGCGGCCCCACAAGUCAGCUGUGAAAUCCCCGGGCUCAACCUGGGAACGGCAGUUGAAACUGUGGAGCUGGAGUCGAAUAGAGGGGGGCGGAAUUUCCGGUGUAGCGGUGAAAUGCGUAGAUAUCGGAAGGAACAUCUGUGGCGAAGGCGGCCCCCUGGAUUCAGACUGACGCUGAGGCGCGAAAGCGUGGGUAGCGAACAGG